UAAAUAUAAAUAAUCUAUAUUAUAUUAUAUUAUAUUAUAUUAUAACCUACAGUUAUGUUGAUAAGAGGAAGAGGCAGGAUGGAAAAUAAAAUUGGCUCAUGGCUCAUUAUUGUGUUGUGUAUUUCCUUUCACAUCAAGUGCACCGUUACCGAUAUCGCUUUACAAUUUUUUUUUUUUAUUUUCAUACAAAAAGAUGAUUCGAUGAUCAGUGCCGCUACAAUAUUUUUGUCGUUUGUCAAUCAUCUUUGCACGAAAUCGGCGAAUCAAUUAUCAUUACACGUAUUUCAUAGAUAUAAUAUAUAAUAUAUAUAUAUAUAUAUCUUUAUCUUUAGCAUAACCUUCUUCUUUUUAAAGUGAAUAUCAUACAAAAUCUAAAGAUAUACGAAAUUUAACUUUUAUUCUUCAUUAUAUAUGAACAUAAUAUAGUAAUACAAUACAUGGCUGUACUUCAAUUUUAUCUUUUUUAAUUAUAAAUAUUGUUUAUAAUUUAUAAAAAGAAAAGAAAAAAAGUUUCUAGUUUGUCAUGGAUCAACGAAUUAAAUCGGAGACGGCGGUAAUAGGCCCUUAUUUUAGAGCAUUUACAUUUUUUUUUUUUUUUAUGAAACCAUUCUUUUCGUGUCAAUUCUAUGUCUCAAACGAUAAUCGCUAAAUCGAUUUGAAUUUGGUCGUGUAUCGUUCUUUUACAUGUGCGCGCGCAGAUUACAGUUAUUAUGUGCACUAAUUCCGAUUGUUCAAUAUUGUUCGAUAUCGGACGCGAAAAUUUAAAGAGUUGUUUAAGUAUUGUAACCAUAUGAUAUAAAGCUCAAUCACAAUUAAAUUAAAAGAAUAUAUCUUAAAAAAAUAUGUUUUAUAUAUAUAGAACGGAAGAAUAUCAUUACAAAAGGACAAGCAAUUGUUGUUACAAAUCCCGAUGCAACGUCGCAACGAUUAAUAACUAUAAUUAUAAAGAAUACUUUUGGUAAUACUUUUUUGUAUUAUCCUUCUAACGUAUUUCUAAUAUUUUUUACAAUUCUGUAACGAAGAAAAAUAGGUGAUGGAAAUUAUAAAACGAAGUAUACAUAUAUAGAGAGAUCUGUUUUAAAGUCUAAAAGUGAGUAUUUGAAAAAAGCCAUUAAUUCAACAUGUUUCUUGAAAAACGCUCUAUACAUGUAUAAAAAGUUGAAUACCCAGAUUCAAACAUCUUUUCUCUUUGAGUAUUGAGGGAAAAAAGAAUCACUAUGCAAUUUUUUGUAAUUCUAGCAGUUAUUUACAAUGAAAGAUUAAUACAUACACAUCAUAUCGAUCGAUAAUCGUAUAAAAAUCAUAUUUUUUAGAUUAUACAAAUAAGUAUGAUUGAUGCUAUUUCGAGUAAUGAUAAAAUAAUUAAUCAAUUUUAUUAAUUAUGGUUAAUCUCUUUUUUUUGUGAUAUCUAAUGCAUAAAACAUGCAAUAUAUUAAUCUUUAGAUUAUUUUCAUCUUAAUAUUUAGCAAUAUCUAAAAGGUAAAAAAGAUUGUUUAAAAAAUUUAAGUAUGCCCGUAUAAAAAUUCUCGAAAAUUCUCACUUAAAAAUUUCAAAACUCAACUCAAAAUAUCAAGUUAUAAAAGUACAAAAUUGAUGGUAUAAAAAACUGAUUUCUAUUGUCAAUUGUAUAUAAAAAGGAUCGUGAUUCGUAUCACACGUCUUAAACUCAUCAGUCACAUAGAAUAUCACAGGAACGUUAGUAGGUGCCAUUGGAUUUAUACAUAUCAAAUAUAAUAGAUAUUAUAUUGCUUGUGCAUGUAUUAAAAAAUAUAAAGAAUAAUAAAAAAAACAAAAUUUCAAUCAUUCUUUUUCAAUUCAAAGUUCAAAUUGUGUUAAUUGUCUUCAUUAUUAAGAUAAUAUACUAUGUACAUUAUAAAAAGUUUUCUCAAUGUACUUUUGUGAAUACAAAAAGCAAUAAAAACAUAAGCAAUAAUUAAAGCAUGAUGAAAAAUGAAUGAUAAUAAUCAAAAUAUCUUUACUGAUAAUUAUCUUACUUGUUAUUGCAAAUUUCACUUUAUGUAUCAAAAUUGUAAAAAAGUCUUCACUCUUCAAAGACUCAGAUUUUCAAGCAAAAUAGUUUUCCAUUAUAUAUUUGGAAAAAUUUGUUUCCCUUCUUUCGAAUUGUAAUAAGUUAUGCUGCUAUUAAUUGCCAUUUUAUAUCAGAGAGAUAAAAGAAAAUUCAAAACUUUUUUCUAGUAAAAUCUCAAAGGUUUUUUUCUUUUUAUUUUUAAUUUCAAUGAUUAUUAUUUGUUUAAUGCAGCACAAUCAUAUUGACAACAAUAAUCAUAUAAUAAUCAUGCUCAUUGCUAUUACAAUAGCAUAAUUUACAAAAUUCUAUACUAGCUGAUUCAAAUACUAUUAACACAGUUAUUUCUUUCAAAUAUUAGAAUGAAUUUAUCAUGAAUGGCAUCUUUAACAUGUAAAGUAAUACAUGGUUUGUCAGUCACCUUUCUCUGGUCACAGAAGAGAAUAUUUAUAUAAUAUGUAUCCUAUAUGAAAUUAUAUUAAUUAUUCAUGAAAAAGACCGCCGUCUCCUCAUUUUCUUAUAACGUAUUGCCUAAUUAUAUUAAUAAUUAACAAACGUCACGCACAGGUUUCUUAUAGGGCACGCUAUAUCAUUUUUCGCGCUACAUAUUCCUAGCCAGUUACAUAGAGCCAUUUAUACCUCAAGAUAAAUUAAAGUUAAUAUCGAUCAAAUUAAUAAUCAACUUUAAUCGACCAUUUAAUUUUAUUGAAAAAAAAAAAAAGAAAAAAAAAAUUAAUGUAUUAUCAAUACAGUUCUGAUGCAAUUAAUAAUACAUUUAUUUUUAUGUUAUAAUUUAUUUUUUGAGAUAAAAUGGUAAAUUGGAAUCAUUAAUGUGCAAUUAUUAACUUUAACUUACAUCUGAGGUAUCUCUAUAUUAUCAUAAUAAUGUAGUUUGCAUCUUUCGAUGUUCAUUUUAUAAAAUAAAAAGUUAAAAAAGUGUGGUGAUACACUUGCUACUUGAAACAUUUCUUUUUUUUUUCCCCCUUUUUUCAAUGGAUCGUAUCAGAAUUUUUAUCGUGAUAAAAAUAAAAAAUUGUAUACAUUAAUUUACAACAAUGCUUUUAAUCCUUCUAAUUCAUACACUGGCUGUAAAAAUGUCGAUGUUUCUUUAUACACAUACUACGAGAUGAAAAUAUGUAAUAAGAACAGUACAUGCAAUUAAUUACAAAAUUGUAAUAACAAUUUUGCAAUUGCAUAAUGUCAUAUCAAAUAUUAACAAUGGUUAUAUCAUUACUGUUCUAAAUUGCGCAUUUUCGCGAGCAUGUAAAGUAUA